rnacentral:rRNA from 1 species
UGGGGAAUAUUGGACAAUGGGGGCAACCCUGAUCCAGCCAUGCCGCGUGUGUGAAGAAGGCCUUUUGGUUGUAAAGCACUUUAAGCAGUGAAGAAGACUCCAUGGUUAAUACCCAUGGACGAUGACAUUAGCUGCAGAAUAAGCACCGGCUAACUCUGUGCCAGCAGCCGCGGUAAUACAGAGGGUGCAAGCGUUAAUCGGAAUUACUGGGCGUAAAGCGAGCGUAGGUGGCUUGAUAAGUCAGAUGUGAAAGCCCCGGGCUUAACCUAGGAACGGCAUCUGAUACUGUUAGGCUAGAGUAGGUGGGAGGAAGGUAGAAUUCCAGGUGUAGCGGUGAAAUGCGUAGAGAUCUGGAGGAAUACCGAUGGCGAAGGCAGUCUUCUGGCAUCAUACUGACACUGAGGUUCGAAAGCGUGGGUAGCAAACAG